CUCACUCUUUCCCUCUCUCGGACUUGGGCAGUGGAAAGAAACAGAAAAGAAGAAAAAAAUUUUCCCUCCCUUUUUGGGCUGGCUCUUAAAGGACAAAAGGAAGAAAGAAAGGGAGGACUCUCUCUCGGCUUCGAACGCAGAAGAGAAACACGGAAGAAGAAGAAAAUUUCCCUCGGCCUUUCCUCUUUCCCAAUAUUUUCCCAACACACUCACAGGCAUCAGAAAAACUUCAGCCAAGGCAAUUCCACUUUCAU
rnacentral:lncRNA from 1 species